AUUUAUGAAUUAUAUAUUAUAAUAAUGCUGUUGUUUGUAUCUUGAGUGUUUCUCUAAAGCACGGGCAUGGGUUGAAGGCUUGAUUUUAGCCUGGGAUGCCUGUAGAAGAUCUUUGAAACUUUGAAGAGGUAGAGAUUAGUGGGAGGGAAUUAGGUCCUGCCCUUGAAAGGAUACUUGAUUCAAACCCUCCUGCCUUUCCUUUUCACCUUCCCUGAGGUAAACAGGCUUUUCUUUGUUGUAUUCUCUGACCAUAAUGUUGCACUACCACAAGCCCAAAAUAAAGCCAAGUGACCAUGAACUGAAAUCUCCAAGACCAUGAACCAAAGUGAACUCUCUCUCUUCUAAGUUGAUUUUCUCAGGUGUAUUGUUAUAAUAAUAGGAAGGCAUCUUCUAGGACUCUUAGAACAUCCUCCAUAGAUACAGAGAGACUGUGCUAUACUGGGAUUUAUUGACAUAUAGGAAGUGUUUAUAUUUGACUUAAGGAUUUAUGAAGCAAAAAAUGAGUAGGUCAAAUAAAUAUAAAUGUGUUGACAGUUCUGUUCGGAUAACAGAAUCAGGCUAGAAAUCACAAGUCAUAAAUUUAUAAAUUUGGAAAAUUUAAAAAUUCUAUGAAUAAGAGCUUUGCAUUAGGAGGAAGGAAAAUUGAUACCUUUGGGGCUUAGAAUGCAAUUCAGUUUAGUAUAGUGCUUUCCUAAAAUAAUACCAUAAAACCUUGGGUUCAGUCUCCAAACACUGCAUAAAUCAGGCUUGAUGGUGUACACCUAUAGCAGUCCCAGAAGUUGGAAGGUGGAUGGGACGAUCUGAAAACCUAGGUCGUUCUCGAUUAUAUAAGCUUAAGGCCAGCUUGGGCUAUAUGAAAAUUGCCGUUAAAGCUAGAAGAGGGAAGCCAAGAUUGAAGCCUUUUCUAAUUAGAUAACUAGCUCUUGAAUUAUAUAAUUGUUUGGCCUGAUGGUAAUAUCCUCUUCUCGGGAGAAGCUUGAUAUAGUUUGCCAAAUAUCUAUGUAUUAGUUAGCAAUAAUAAGUUAGAAUUAUUCUAAAAGCAGUAUUCAUAUGCCACGUAAUCAGAAUUAAAUCUAAGUAAAAUUUAUAUGAGGUUGAACUAAAGUGGCUUUUCUAAAAGAACUAUGUUAACUCAAAGGUACUUGAGAGAAUAUGUUAAUCAAAUAGAGAUAUUAAGUCAAGUUCUAGUCUAGCCCUUUCUACUUGUCACGAGGUCAGGUAUCACAGAUAGCCUUGACCACUAUCCAUGCGUCCAUGCAUCCAUGCAGGGUCUCAUAUAAUCUAGGUUGUCCUUAUACUCUUUAUGUAGAAUCAAGGAUGACCUUUAGGUUCUCCUGCUUUCACAUUCUGAAUCAUGGAAUAAGGCUUGUGCUACCACUCCUCAUUUAAUAUAGUGCUAGGGAUCAAACCCAGGGAUUUUUCAUGCCAACUUAGCUACACCCCAGACCUAAAAUUUGUCUCUUUCUGACAAAAAUACACUCUACUCCCCUGAUACUUAACUUCUACCUUCUGGCAAUGGAAGCUUCUUUGAUUCAUCAGAAUGAGUCAGGUAGUUGUACAAUAGUAGGAGCUGAAGAAGUAUUUAUUAUAUAAAUAUUUGAUCUUUAUCUUCUAAAAAGAAUAUGCCCCAAUUUCUCAACCAUGGAAGAUUGAAUCAUUUUCAGAUAAAAAAAUACUUAGUAGAAAUCACUAGUAAUAAACCUACAGAUAUAGAUAUGCCCAUUAAAAAUAAUCACCUACUUCCAAAUAAUCAGAUCAAAGCAUGCGCUAUAAAGUUUGAUAUCGAGGAGAAGGCUACAUGACUCAUACUCUCAAAGAUGAGGGUGCUUUUGUGAGUCUCAUUUUCUGAUUGCACAGGCAGUUGCCUUAUAUUGUAUUCAUUAAAGCACUGAAAUAUGUUCAUCUUCUAUCAAGUCUUGGGAAUGGCUGAGAAAUGAAAAUGAUUUCUGUUCUUGCCACAUCCUCACUUGCAAGGUUUUAUUCACCUAAAAUUUGGGAUUAUUUUCAUCUACAUAUCAGCUAUGGGCUUUCUAAAAGCUCUAGCUUUGGCAUUAUACUCAAAUACUUUUAAACACACGUAGGAGCACCACACACACUCUCUACUCCAUCUGCAAAUAGAAAACCAUACACGUGAGUCAGUACCCCUAUGUGUUUAUCUCCUGUUACUGUAGACAUUUUGUAGAUUCUGGAUGAAAAUAGAAAGGUGGGAAGAAUGAUUUCAGAAACCACUAUUCAAGCUUGGCCUCAGCCCCCUAACUAUACUCGUUAGCCCCUUUGCAGGUCUCCUGUAUUCCAUCCCAUGUCUUGUUUGCAGCAGAGUGUUGUAACAUGCAUGUGUCACCUCCACACUUGAGGAGCUGAGGUAGAAGGACCAGGAAUUCUAGUCCAGCCUGAACUACACAACAAAACCUUGUCUCAACAAAACACCAUAAAGCGUACAUGUGUACUCACUUGGCUAGUGCAGCUCUCUGUUAUAAAGGUAUGAGAACUGUUGGCUGGCUCUGAUAGCACAGCAUCUCUAGUCUUCCCAGAGAGCCAAGGUGGAGCGAUUGCCCUGAGUCUAAAUAGGCUGGGCAGUGUAGUGAGGCUUGUGUCAGUAUCAGAAUUUUGAUAGGUGUCACAUUAAGUCUGUAGAUUAUAUUUGGUACUGUAGCUCUGCACUUACUAAUUUUGCCGAUUCAGAAGCACAGAAGGUCUUUUCAUAGCAUCUUGGGGGUUUUCUUUUUCAAUGUUUUGAAGUUUUCAUUGUAGAGGUCUUUCUUAUCUUUGGAUACUCACACACACACACACACACACACACACUUAACUUUUUGGUGAUUCUUUUGGAAUCAUGUACUCCAAGCCCAUUUUUCCCUCUCCUUCUAUAUCUACCCUCCAUCCUUGUAACCUCCUUCCUCCC
rnacentral:lncRNA from 1 species